rnacentral:rRNA from 1 species
AAUGAACGCUGGCGGCGUGCCUAACACAUGCAAGUCGUACGAGAAAUCCCGAGCUUGCUUGGGAGAGUAAAGUGGCGCACGGGUGAGUAACGCGUGGGUAACCCACCUUCGAAUCUAGGAUAACUCCGCGAAAGCGGUGCUAAUACCGGAUAAGACCACAGCCGUUUCGGCGGCAGAGGUAAAAGCUGACCUCUCCAUGGAAGUUAGCGUUCGAGGACGGGCCCGCGUCCUAUCAGCUUGUUGGUGGGGUAAUGGCCUACCAAGGCAGCGACGGGUAGCUGGUCUGAGAGGAUGAUCAGCCACACUGGAACUGGAACACGGUCCAGACUCCUACGGGAGGCAGCAGUGAGGAAUUUUGCGCAAUGGGGGAAACCCUGACGCAGCAACGCCGCGUGGGUGAAGAAGGCUUUCGGGUCGUAAAGCCCUGUCAGGUGGGAAGAACCGUUUCGAUACUAAUAAUGUCGAAGCCCGACGGUACCACCAGAGGAAGCACCGGCCAACUCCGUG